rnacentral:piRNA from 1 species
UGGACUGAAGUGCAGGUUGCUCACAGCAUC